rnacentral:rRNA from 1 species
ACACUCCUGCGGGAGGCAGCAGUGGGGAAUAUUGGACAAUGGGCGCAAGCCUGAUCCAGCCAUGCCGCGUGAGUGAUGAAGGCCCUAGGGUUGUAAAGCUCUUUCACCGGUGAAGAUAAUGACGGUAACCGGAGAAGAAGCCCCGGCUAACUUCGUGCCAGCAGCCGCGGUAAUACGAAGGGGGCUAGCGUUGUUCGGAUUUACUGGGCGUAAAGCGCACGUAGGCGGACUAUUAAGUCAGGGGUGAAAUCCCGGGGCUCAACCCCGGAACUGCCUUUGAUACUGGUAGUCUUGAGUGCGAGAGAGGUGAGUGGAAUUCCGAGUAUAGAGGUGAAAUUCGUAGAUAUUCGGAGGAACACCAGUGGCGAAGGCGGCUCACUGGCGCGAUACUGACGCUGAGGUGCGAAAGCGUGGGGAGCAAACAGGAUUAGAAACCCUUGUAGUCCCAUG